AUUACCCUACCUCACUGCCCCUCCUCCUCUGCAGAAUAAACGGUUAGGAAGUGAAAGUGAAAGUCAGUCUCCAUUUUGUGUGGAGGGGAAAAUACAGCGUUUCAGGAGUAAAAACACAGGUUUGAUUUAACACACCGAUGUUGGAGUGAAGUAAACGUGUGUCCUGCUGUAAUCUGGAGAAGGAGACAUGACCUCCAACAUGAGUGUGUCUGGAGAACAGGACUUAAAGAGAGACGAGAGAAUGAUGAAGAGAAAGAGAUCAGACUCACCAGAACCCAGCUGUGUGUCCAUGAAGAGUGACGCGUCAAUGGAUCGUCCAAUUUACCUUCAGAGACGGAGCCAGUUCUCCUGAUGUGAGGUCAGUACAGUGAGGUGUUUUACAGCAGUGUUCCACCUGAUCAAACUCACUGGUCUCAUUCUGAAGCCCUUCAUGAUCUUUAUCAGGUGUUGAAGCAGUAAAACACUAAACUGUGCAGUGCUGCAGCUCUCGGACUGGCGGUGAGGAAAACUGCUUUAAGAGUUCAGUUCAGCCUGCAGUCCCUGAGCUGGAGGGUCUGUGGUGCUACACAACAACAUUUACACCUGGGACAUUAAUGACUAGAUCACUAUUUUAUUCAUGAACAUGUUAGUGUCAGUGAGAAAUCCUGAAAUCAGUGUAUAGUGUUAAGAGGAUAGUGUUAAAUAUCUGUCUCUGUAUUUAUUAGUGUGUGUUGUGCAGCUAUGAAUACAUAUAGUCUAUAUCACAUCAUGUGUUUUAUUUCUUCACAGACCACAACAGAAGAAAUCAAACCUCAGCAGAAAUCAGCUGGACUCCAUAUUCAAGGAGCUGGAACACAAAGUCAUCACUCUGAUAAAGAAUGAGCUGAAGAGGUUUAGGAAGCUCCUGAGUCCAGAUUACCCAGCAUGCACUGAGAGGGAGGUGCAGGAUGAGGAGGAUCUGCACAGUGUCAGAGACGGAGCGCUGAAGAUCACACUGCACGUCCUGAAGAACAUGAACCACACAGAUCUCGCUAACACACUGCACAACAAACUCGCCUCUGUGUAUCAGACAAAGCUGAAAUCCAGCCUGAGAGAGAAGUUUAAAAGAAUUAAUGAAGGAAUCUCACAGCAUGGAAGCUCAGCACUUCUGAAUGAGAUCUACACAGAGCUCUACAUCACAGAGGGUUGGAGUGGAGACGUCAAUAAUGAACAUGAGGUGAGACAGAUUGAGACAGCGUCCAGGAGACCAGCAACACAGGAGACACCCAUCAAAUGUAAUGAUCUCUUUAAAGACGAGUCCAUCAGAAGUGUUCUGACUAAAGGAGUUGCUGGAAUUGGGAAAACAGUCUCUGUGCAGAAGUUCAUUCUGGACUGGGCUGAAGGAAAAGCGAAUCAGGACGUCACCUUCAUGUUUCCACUUCCCUUUAGAGAGCUGAAUCUGAUGAAGCAGAAACAUCUCAGUCUGAUGGAUCUUCUUCAUCACUUUUUCCCUGAAAUGAGAAAACUACAAUUAAUAGACUCCUACAAAGUGCUGUUGAUCUUUGAUGGUCUGGAUGAGUGUCGACUUCCUCUAAAUUUCCAGAAGAAUGAGAGAUUGUGUGAUGUGACAGAGUCAGCCUCAGUGGACGUGCUGCUGACGAACCUCAUCAAGGGGAAUCUGAUUCCCUCUGCUCUCCUCUGGAUAACCUCUCGACCAGGAGCAGCCAAUCAGAUCCCUCCUGAGUGUGUAGACCAGGUAACAGAGGUACGAGGGUUCAGUGAUCCUCAGAAAGAGGAGUACUUCAGGAAGAGGAUCAGUGAUCGGAGCCUGGCCAAUAAAAUCAUCUCACACCUGAAGUCUUCAAGAAGCCUCCACAUCAUGUGCCACAUCCCAGUCUUCUGCUGGAUCUCAGCCACUGUUCUAGAGAGAAUGUUGGGUGAAGCAGAGAGUGGAGAGAUCCCCAAGACUCUGACUCAAAUGUUCACACACUUCCUGAUCUUUCAGAUCAAACACAAGGACCAAAAGUACCAUCAGAAAUGUGACCCUGAUCCUCAGCAGACCAGAGAGAGUAUCCUGGCACUGGGAAAACUGGCUUUCCAACAGCUGGAGAAAGGAAACCUGAUCUUCUAUGAGGAAGACCUGAGAGAGUGUGGCAUUGAUGUGAGAGAAGCGUCAGUGUACUCAGGAGUGUGUACCCAAAUCUUCAGAGAGGAGUUUGGGCUUCACCUGGGGAAGGUGUUCAGCUUUGUACAUCUGAGUGUUCAGGAGUUUCUGGCUGCUUUAUAUGCAUUUUUCUGCUUUAUUUUUAGAAAGACAAAUGUGUUAGUGGAACAAAGCACUGGACGUUUUAAUUUCUUCAGAAAGUCAGACAUGUCUGAUCUCCUCAGGAGUGCAGUGGACAAGGCCUUACAGAGUGAGAACGGACACCUGGACCUGUUCCUCCGCUUCCUUCUGGGUCUCUCACUGGAGUCCAAUCAGACUCUCUUACGAGGCUUAAUGCCACAGACAGGAAGCAGCUCUCACAGCAAACAGGAAACAGUCGAGUACAUCAAGGAGAAGAUCAGGGAGAAUCCAUCUCCAGAGAAAUCCAUCAAUCUGUUCUACUGUCUGAAUGAACUGAAUGAUCAUUCUCUAGUGCAGGAAGUACAGACUUACCUGAACAGAGGAGGUCUCAGUCGUCUCAGGGGAACCAGACUCUCUCCUGCUCAGUGGUCAGCUCUGGUGUUUGUGUUACUGAACUCAGAUCAGGAGCUGGAUGAGUUUAAUUUGAGGGAAUAUGACCGAUCAGAGGAAGGUCUUCUGAAGCUGCUGCCAGUGGUCAAAGCCUCCAGAAGAGCUGUGCUGCGUGAGUGUGAUCUGACAGAGGAAAGCUGUAGAGUUCUGUCCUCAGUUCUCAGAUCAAACUCCUCCAGACUGAGAGAACUGAACCUGAGUGUCAAUAACCUGCAGGAUUCAGGAGUGAAGCUGCUCUCUGCUGGACUGGAGAAUCCACACUGUACACUGGAGAUACUGAGAAUCCCUUCUAUUGUGCGCUGGAAGAUCGCUGGACUUGAAGCAACUCCAAAUGGUGGCCUGUUCCUGCGUUAACUUCAAAUACCACCUCCAUGCUAUUCACUUCAAUGGUUUGUGUGAUAGGAGCAGCCCUAGGUAAGUCAAACUAAACAGAACCCUUACCUUCACUACAGUGAGAGAGAGGCCUUUAGUUGCAUAAAUGUUACCCUGGCUCCUUUAUGACCUUACAGACUACUACUUGUCUUGCUCUUGGAGUGAUCUUUGUUGGUUGAUAUGUUCUGGGGAGGGAAAUGAUGGUCUUGAAUUUCCUCCAUUUGUGCACAAUCUGUCUGUGGCCAAAUAUUAUCAUUUUGUCUCGUUUGUUUAACUGGGAUCUCUUGGUCUACUUUUAGGACUUGUGUAAAAAUCUGAUGUUUUGGGUCAUCUUUAUUCAUAUAUAUAGAAAAUUCUGAAGGGUUCAUAAACCUUCAAGCACCACUGAAUAUAUCUUGGCCUCACUUAUUGUUCUGAAUGAGUAAGAGAAUUUGGCUUAUGCGUUACCUAUCCCUGUGAAACAGGAAGUCAUGGUUGAACAAUGUCCUGUUCCUAGUUUCCCAAGUGUACAAAAAAGUAAAAUAUCAAGGGGAAUAUACUUCAAAUACAUUUCUCAUGGAUUCAUAGGGGUGCCAAUAAUUGUUGUACACCUAUUUAACAAAUAUUUUUUAUAAACUUGUGGUGUUUGCAAUUGUUUGUCCAUGAGAGCAGAGUAUUUUUGUGAAUUUUUUUUUUUUUAACAAAAGGUUUUCUUCUUUGCUCAUAUUUACCAAGGGUGCCAAUAUUAGUGGAGGACACUGUACAUGUCACUCUCAAGUGGAAACCUCAUAUGACACACUGUUCCUUUUCAGGAAAUAAAAACCUGUAUUUUGAGAAGUCAGCACUGUUACAGUUGGUAUUGUGGCUGUAUAUAAGGUCAAACCUGUAUAUAAGGUUUUUUUUUCAUGUAGCUUAAUUAUUUAGUAUAAAUGAAGGUAAGUGUGUGUUCUGUUCAUCUCUGCAGUCGUGUGUUCCCUGAUAGUCAAUGAUUGCUGGAGCUCUGGAAAUAGCAGGUGAGAUUGCAGGCCGGAGUCGCGUCGCUGUCCAGGGAACCAAAAUCAACCUCCUCUACUCCUGAGACCACAGUGUGACUGAGAGCCUAGACUACAUGGCUACUUGGAACAUGAACAUGUUGCAGACACAGGAUCUUAUGAAGUCAGCGCAGGCAGCCCUGGAAAAGAAGAGUCCGAAAGACGUGCCCUUCUCCAAGCUUUAAAGGAGAAGAUCCAGGGCUGUUGAAGCUGCGGUGGAACUGAGACUUCAUCAUCCACAGAUCUUUAGUUCUUCUUGCUAAGUCUCAGUUUCUUUUUAGUCUUUUUAUUUUUAGACUGGUCAAAAGACUGA